GACUCCACGACGGGCGAGACCACCUGCCAAGUUUAAGCAUAUCAAUAAGCGGAGGA
rnacentral:rRNA from 1 species